GGACAACCAGAAGAGUCGACCAACGACAACAUCGGGAAUGUGACUCUAAGCACCGGAAAUAUCACGGCUGAGAGUAGUUUCCUGGGGAGGUCGUCCUACACGGAAGAUGACGAUGAUACCAUUUGUGUCGCAGCAGACAACAAGUUCUACUUGUAUGCUAAUUCGUUGAAGCUGUAUUCUUGCUACAACCAACUACCGAAAGUUUACGUGGUGAAACCAAAGAGUCAAUGCAAACCAUACCUGUCAGAUUGUCCCAGGAACUAGGAGUCUUGUGAAUCAGUUGGCUCGGAUUGAAUCGUCUGCGAGGGAAUGGAGAAUAAAUAGCUGGACCGCAGACUGAAGACAUCUGCUGUUUCCAGAGGAGCCAAGAAACUGGAAGAGGGUCAGAACUUGACUCUUAUACUUAAAAAUAACCGGUCGAAUCUAGACAUCCUAUUCCUUGUCACUUUCUGAUUACUUCACGACAUGCAAUAAAUAUCAUUACUGUAAAGAUUAGUACUAAAAACUUGCAUUUGUAUUCUUUUUAUGUUUCUGUUGUUUCUAUAACAGUUGUAUGCCGACGCAAUAAAAGUGUAGUUUCAUGA